rnacentral:rRNA from 1 species
AACAAACGCUGGCGGCAUGCCUAACACAUGCAAGUCGAACGAGACCUUCGGGUCUAGUGGCGCACGGGUGCGUAACGCGUGGGAAUCUGCCCUUGGGUUCGGAAUAACAGUUAGAAAUGACUGCUAAUACCGGAUAAUGUCUUCGGACCAAAGAUUUAUCGCCCAGGGAUGAGCCCGCGUAGGAUUAGCUAGUUGGUGAGGUAAAGGCUCACCAAGGCGACGAUCCUUAGCUGGUCUGAGAGGAUGAUCAGCCACACUGGGACUGAGACACGGCCCAGACUCCUACGGGAGGCAGCAGUGGGGAAUAUUGGACGAUGGGCGAAAGCCCGAUCCAGCAAUGCCGCGUGAGUGAUGAAGGCCUUAGGGUUGUAAAGCUCUUUUACCCGGGAUGAUAAUGACAGUACCGGGAGAAUAAGCCCCGGCUAACUCCGUGCCAGCAGCCGCGGUAAU